rnacentral:rRNA from 1 species
UUGGGCGUAAAGCGCGCGCAGGCGGAUCAGUUAGUCUGUCUUAAAAGUUCGGGGCUUAACCCCGUGAUGGGAUGGAAACUGCUGAUCUAGAGUAUCGGAGAGGAAAGUGGAAUUCCUAGUGUAGCGGUGAAAUGCGUAGAUAUUAGGAAGAACACCAGUGGCGAAGGCGACUUUCUGGACGAAAACUGACGCUGAGGCGCGAAAGCCAGGGGAGCGAACGGGAUUAGAUACCCCGGUAGUCCUGGCCGUAAACGAUGGGUACUAGGUGUAGGAGGUAUCGACCCCUUCUGUGCCGGAGUUAACGCAAUAAGUACCCCGCCUGGGGAGUACGACCGCAAGGUUGAAACUCAAAGGAAUUGACGGGGGCCCGCACAAGCGGUGGAGUAUGUGGUUUAAUUCGACGCAACGCGAAGAACCUUACCAGGUCUUGACAUUGAUGGACAGAACUAGAGAUAGUUCCUCUUCUUCGGAAGCCAGAAAACAGGUGGUGCACGGUUGUCGUCAGCUCGUGUCGUGAG